rnacentral:lncRNA from 1 species
GUACUACCUUUUGAGUUGAAGUGCCUGCCGCGUCCUUCACACUGAUCUGUGUUGCUUUUCAUCAGUUCUCUUCAAUAGUGCUGCGUGAGAGCCACCACAGAUAUAUCAUCAAACCCAUCUGCAAUGAGCCCAGACUAACUCCUUGCCAGAAGAUACCUUGCAUGGAGCAUCUGGAACACCAGAUUCCUCCUUUGCUGCCAUAAGGGUGGUUAUAUUAAGGGAAGUAGCAAGCAAGAAACAAGCAAUCUGUGGCUGACUUUUGAAGAUGUAAUGCUGAACAAUAAGGCACCUUUACCAUCCAUAUAGGCUGUUACUAAAACAAGACAGCUACCACAAAAUGGAUUUUGAUAUUCUGUAUGAGCUCAGUACACAUCUACUGCAAAAGUCUCAUCUGUGUAUCCUGAAUUGCUCCUGAAGAUAUGGAGUAGAGUUUUGAAUGGCAUUUAUAUCACUCCUUCCAAGAAGACCAUCAGAUAACAGACAGCAGUAAAUUUCCUUCACUUGAAAUGGGGUUCAAUCAAACUAAAUGUACACAGCUCUUUAUUUACAACUGAACUACUCAUUCCAGGCUUCUCUACAGGAGGCCUCAACACAUUGAGCACUAUUUAAGUAUUACGAUUUAUCGGUGGGUUUAAAGAAGCCUCCCAGGAAUGCACUUCAUACCUGUUGUCCAUUCCUGGAGUGCUUCUGGAUCAAAGCAGAGGACCAAAGCCCCAAGGACCAUUGAGAGUGACUGAACACGGAAAAUUAUUCAAAAGAUCUCCACAUCUAAACAAAACUCACAGUUCAAUCUCAUCUCUCAUUUUGGCACCGGUUGCAUACAUGAUCCUGGACAUUUACUUCUCAUAUGAAGACUGAACCCCUGUGGACAAUUUCAGCAAUCUUGUCCUUCCACUUCAGCAAUGUUCUAAGAUCCAUUGGCUUCAGCAGGAGCUUUUCAGCCAUCUUUCAAUUGAGGUUUUAAUCAGAUCCUCAGUGAAUACGAAUCAAAUACAGAAGAAAACUGUUUCUUAGGACAUUUUCUGUCAUGAUUCUCCAUUUACCGUUACAUUUCGUGAUGAUAGCCUCUUCAGCUUUUCUCUCAGCAAUUACUUUAGAUCAGCGGAAAAAUCUGUUUCUGUUGUUAGUAAAAACACAUUUAAGACAUCUUUCUGCAAUCUAGACUGCUGUUCCCAGCUGCAAAGUAUGAAUUAUGCAUGCUUCUUGUCUUCUUAGAGUAUGAAAAAAACACCCUACUAUAGUCUUGAAUUAAUGAUUCUAAUGUUAUGCUAAAUGUUCACAGUUUAUUAUUCCAAUAAAUAUGGCAAUCUAGUGAUA